CGUAUUCACUUCCUCAA
rnacentral:miRNA from 1 species